rnacentral:misc_RNA from 1 species
AUAUACUGUUAUAGACUUUUGAGCCGUUAAAUACAGAUAGAUGGAAAGGCAUAACAUAUAUUGGAUAUUAACGUUAAUCCUCCAUUGGAUAGCUAUUAAUCCAACGGAAACUUAUAUAACAUGGAUCGCUACAAGAUUACCCUUAAAAGUUAUUAUAUAAUAUAAACAAAUUUAAUCAAAAAGUACAAAGAAAAUUAGAUGACGUUAUAAAUGAAAAAAAAUAGAAUUUUGAUUAUAUGGGUUUGUGUGUGUGUUUUUUUUUAUUAUAGGGUAAUCCUUCGCCGCCGGGUUCCCCUUGGCCUCUGCCUCAAAAGUGGAUGAAUUCAACGUCGCUCCUAACCUUUUCUCUCCCAAUAACGUUCACAAGCACGUUUUCGUGUGAUGUCAUCGACGAGGCAAAGAAGAGAUACGCUAAUCUAAUAAAUAGGCAACUAGAAGGCGGAAAACCAGUUGAUGGGAUAAAAAGGUUGGGAACAGUUCGAUUACAAAUCGAAAAUAGAACUUGCCAAAAUUCUUAUCCCAAUAUACAAUCUAACGAAGCUUGUAAGCCAAGAAAUUAUCAAUUCUAAAUAAAAUAAAGUUUAUAAGUAAAUCAACAAUUCUCUCUCUCUCUCUCUCUCUCUUAAGAUUCCAUACAUAUCGUUGAAGAUGAGAGUGUCAUCCGUUCGGUAACGAUUUGGGGAAUGUUGAGAGGUUAUAUCAUCAAAUUCUAAUUAUUUGAGUUUCCUUAAGUAUACAUCAUUUCAAUUCUACCCUCUUAAUUUGUCUAUCUAGGUUUAGAAACUUUCAGCCAACUAGUCUAUAAGCGCAACAAAGACGCUGGGAACCUGAUCAAUGUAACGAAUAUUGAAGAUUACCCUAGAUAUGCCCAUAGGGGCGUAAUGCUUGAUACUGCUCGACAUUUUAUGCCUAUGAAAACCAUUACUAAAAUUCUCGAUGCUAUGUCAUAUAACAAGUUCAAUGUGUUCCAUUGGCAUGUAGUUGACGAUCAAUCCUUUCCCUAUACACUGAGAAAGUUUCCGGAAAUGGCUGAAAAGGGCGCUUAUCACCCGAAACUUGUUUAUACUAGGGAUGAUAUUGAAAGGAUAAAGAGGGAAGCUAGAUUAAGAGGAAUUCGAGUAAUUCCCGAAUUUGAUACACCCGGUCAUACUUUUUCUUGGGGUAAGUCUUUCCCAGAGCUAUUGACCCCUUGCUGGGGCCAAGGUCGUCCUGAUACGCCAAAUUAUCCCCAUCAUGGGCCUCGAGAAAUAAUAAACCCAACCUUGGAAAGUACAUUUGAUUUUAUGAGAGAUCUUUAUAUGGAAAUAAGAGACGAUUUUCCGGAUGAGUACGUUCAUUUAGGAAUGGACGAAGCUUAUUACGCAUGCUGGCAAUCGAGUCCAAACGUCUCAGAUUGGAUGUCAAAAAGAAACAUGUCGACGUACAAUCAAAUAGAACAGUAUUAUUCAGAGAGACUAAUUAAAAUAGUUGACAAAAUAGGCCUAAAGUCAAUAGUAUGGCAAGAUCCCCUUGAGAAUAACGUAACAUUUAAUAAAGAGACGAUUAUACAAGUAUGGAAAGAUAAGAAGAACGAUGUUAAUAAUCCUUCAGUUAAAAAUUGGGAAGAAUACGCUCAAGAAGUUGCUAAAUUGGGUUACAAUUUUAUUCUCUCUUCUCCAUGGUAUUUAAAUAUGAUAAGCUAUGGACAGGAUUGGAGGAACUACUAUGAAAUUGAGCCAACAGAUUUUACAUCUAAUGAAAACGAAAAGAAACUGGUAAAAGGAGGAGAAGCAUGUAUGUGGGCAGAGUAUGUUGAUGGUACCAAUAUACACUCAAGAAUAUGGCCAAGAGCAUCGGCAAUAGCAGAACGUCUUUGGAGUGCUAAAAAUGCUGAUAAUAUUGAAGAUGCUAAAUUUAGAUUAGACGAGCAUCGUUGCAGAAUGAUAAGACGUGGAAUACCUGCCCAACCUAUAUUGAACGGUCAUUGUAAUGGAGAAGAAUGGGAGUACGAAAGCAAGGAACAACCGCCACAACAAUCUGUAGCAAUUUCCAAUUAUUACAAUGCCAUAUUGAUUACGUUAAUUAUUACUAAUUUCUUUUCCUCAUUCAUUCUAUCAAGAUAAAGAGAGACUACAUUGAUUUUCCAAUUAAAUCCUCUUUAUAAGGGACAAAAACAAAAUCGUAAAGAUAUAUGUUUUAUAAAAAGGUUAAUAUACUUAAUUUGCCAUACGUGCUAAAAGUGACCAAAUUAUAUCUUUUAUUUACAUAAGAAUACAACAAAUACUAGUAUUCUCUUUUCUCUUUUUCAUGCUAAGGUAUAUUCAUGUUUUACUGGUGACUAUUCACAAUAAAGGAAAUAUAGCAUAGGAUGAAUAAUAAAAGGAAAUUCUGAGUUGCACGGAUUACUAUGACGCUUUUUGUGCAAAAGUUUUUACGUAUAAUUUAUUAUAGUGUUGCUUUGCUUUGACUUUACAUAUUAGUAUUAAUAUGAUAUACGUAUAUACAAAUCCUAUAUCUCCAUAUAUAUUUCAAUGAAAUUGAUAAGAUAUAAUCGAUUGCGACCAAUUGAUACUAAAUAACUGUUGAUAUUAAUAAUCUAUAUAAUUACCGCGUCAAUCAGUUAUAUUAUAACAUCUAAUAUUAAUUAAAUAAGAUUUAAUGGAUAUAAAUAUUUAGAUAUAUUGUAAAAUAAAGUCAGUUUACGACUUUUCUUUAGUUAGUAAUUAUGUGUUUUCGUGAUUUUGCGUAGACCAUUAAGAGGGGAAAGAAAAUUCAUACACCAUAUAUUCACAUAUUAUAUACAGUAUAUAAAAAUGUAGCAUUUAUUUUUACGCAUUUAUUUACAUACAUAAAAAAAAUCUUUAAAAAUCGAUCACCGAGUAGGAAAACAAUGAAACACCUGUUAGCACGGAAAGUGAAAUAGAGCGAACGGAACGGAGAGCGAAAGAAGGAGAUAUCGAAUUAUUUUGGUAGGAGUGGUUUAUUUUUCUUUAUUCGUCGUAUGACAUUAAUGUUCCUUUUGUUCCAAUUUUUACACUCCUUCAUUCAAUUCCACACGUAUUCUAAAACUUGUUAGUAUAAUAAAGUUACUUAGAUUUUUUGUUUGAUACUUAAAAUUCAUAAAAAGAAACUUAUAGUCUAC